AGCUUAGCAAUGGAUUGUGUGUGGGAGUUAAGGAUCUGAGUGUUGACUUCUAAUCAUUCUAGUACUUUCAGAACUUUUUCCUCAAAAGCUGAGCUGUGACCAGUAGUAGACGGUUGAGGAGCAUUUUGUAAUUGAUGAUAUGGUCCAUGCCUAUAUGUUGGGUCUUGAUAUUGAGGUCGAGGUGCGGUAGGGUCAACCAUUGGUUGUGGUCUCCAAGAAAAAAUUUGGAUGGUUU
rnacentral:lncRNA from 1 species